rnacentral:sRNA from 1 species
UUACCCCAUGAUGCUUGGGUCCGCCGCAUCUCCCUGGGUCGUGGGGUUGUCGGCUGGUCGCGACAAGACGGUUCCUCGUGCCGUAACCGUGAUCAGCCGACGCCAUU